UAAAAGUUCUCAUAAGUUUAUUAAUAAAUAAAAUUCAUUUCAUCUUUCUUUACAUACAUGUGCACUAAAACAAUGUUGUCAUAAUCAAUUACAAAAUACAGAAUAAAAUAAUCUAAACUCUCAUCACUCAAUCAAUGACAAAUGCUGCGACACCAAGGAACCAUUCCAAGAUAAUGCCAAUCUCUCAUUCAGAGUUAUCGGUCGUUGUUCUCGCUCUUGAGGCCACAGACCACAAUUAAUUCCUCUAUCAGUUCUUUAUAACCUUUUGCAUCAUUAAAAAAUUGCACCAUGCACUUUUGUCCAAUUUUUUGUGUGUGUAAUGUAUUGUCCUAGUCC
rnacentral:lncRNA from 1 species